rnacentral:rRNA from 1 species
GAUGCGGAGCUUACCAUGCAAGUCGAGGGGCAGCGAGGGUAGCAAUACCUGUCGGCGACCGGCGCAAGGGUGCGUAACGCGUGAGCAACAUGCCCGUAUCAGGGGGAUAAUCCAGGGAAACUUGGUCUAAUACCCCAUAGUAAUUUGUUAUGGCAUCAUAAUAGAUUUAAAGCUUUGGUGGAUACGGAUUGGCUCGCGUGACAUUAGCUAGAUGGUAAGGUAACGGCUUACCAUGGCUACGAUGUCUAGGGGUUCUGAGAGGAAGGUCCCCCACACUGGAACUGAGACACGGUCCAGACUCCUACGGGAGGCAGCAGUGAGGAAUAUUGGACAAUGGAUGGAAAUCUGAUCCAGCCAUGCCGCGUGCAGGAAGACGGCCCUAUGGGUUGUAAACUGCUUUUGUAUGGGAGCAAUAAGCUAUUUGCGAAUAGUGAUGAGAGUACCAUACGAAUAAGCAUCGGCUAACUCCGUGCCAGCAGCCGCGGUAAUACGGAGGAUGCAAGCGUUAUCCGGAUUUAUUGGGUUUAAAGGGUGCGUAGGCGGUUCGGUAAGUCAGUGGUGAAAGUUUACUGCUUAACAGUAAAAUGCCAUUGAUACUGUCGGGCUAGAAUAUGGUUGCUGUGGGUGGAAUGUGUGGUGUAGCGGUGAAAUGCUUAGAUAUCACACAGAAUAUCGAUUGCGAAGGCAGCUCACAAAGCCAUUAUUGACGCUGAGGCACGAAAGUGUGGGGAUCAAACAGGAUUAGAUACCCUGGUAGUCCACACUGUAAACGAUGAUAACUCGCUGUCGGCGAUACACAGACUGUGGCCAAGCGAAAUCG